UAUUGGACAAUGGGCGCAAGCCUGAUCCAGCCAUGCCGCGUGAGUGAUGAAGGCCCUAGGGUUGUAAAGCUCUUUUGUGCGGGAAGAUAAUGACUGUACCGCAAGAAUAAGCCCCGGCUAACUUCGUGCCAGCAGCCGCGGUAAUACGAAGGGGGCUAGCGUUGCUCGGAAUCACUGGGCGUAAAGGGUGCGUAGGCGGGUCUUUAAGUCAGGGGUGAAAUCCUGGAGCUCAACUCCAGAACUGCCUUUGAUACUGAGGAUCUUGAGUUCGGGAGAGGUGAGUGGAACUGCGAAUGUAGAGGUGAAAUUCGUAGAUAUUCGCAAGAACACCAGUGGCGAAGGCGGCUCACUGGCCCG
rnacentral:rRNA from 1 species